rnacentral:rRNA from 1 species
GAUGAACGCUAGCUACAGGCUUAACACAUGCAAGUCGAGGGGAAACGACAUCGAAAGCUUGCUUUUGAUGGGCGUCGACCGGCGCACGGGUGAGUAACGCGUAUCCAACCUGCCCAUCACUUGGGAUUAACCUUGCGAAAGUAAGACUAAUACCCAAUGAUAUCCCACGAAGGCAUCGGAAUGGGAUUAAAGAUUUAUCGGUGAUGGAUGGGGAUGCGUCUGAUUAGCUUGUUGGCGGGGUAACGGCCCACCAAGGCAACGAUCAGUAGGGGUUCUGAGAGGAAGGUCCCCCACAUUGGAACUGAGACACGGUCCAAACUCCUACGGGAGGCAGCAGUGAGGAAUAUUGGUCAAUGGGCGAGAGCCUGAACCAGCCAAGUAGCGUGCAGGAAGACGGCCCUAUGGGUUGUAAACUGCUUUUAUAAGGGAAUAAAGUGGGUCACGUGUGACUUUUUGCAUGUACCUUAUGAAUAAGGACCGGCUAAUUCCGUG